rnacentral:rRNA from 1 species
UGGAAGCGUCUGGAAAGGCGCGCGAUACAGGGUGACAGCCCCGUACACAAAAAUGCACAUGCUGUGAGCUCGAUGAGUAGGGCGGGACACGUGGUAUCCUGUCUGAAUAUGGGGGGACCAUCCUCCAAGGCUAAAUACUCCUGACUGACCGAUAGUGAACCAGUACCGUGAGGGAAAGGCGAAAAGAACCCCGGCGAGGGGAGUGAAAAAGAACCUGAAACCGUGUACGUACAAGCAGUGGGAGCACGCUUAGGCGUGUGACUGCGU